GCUGCCCUGGUGGUGCCCACUGCUGCUGGUGAAUGCCAGGCCCGGGGUGACAAAACGAAAUGUGGAGAGCCGUCUGCGGGAUGGGGUGGCCUUUCCAACUGCAGAAACAGUACCAGGAUUUUGUUUGGGGGCACUGACUUCACCCUCACUCACAUGAUCCAGGCCAGGCCAAGAAGAACUUCCACCCCUUGGUCUCACUGAUGGUUUAUAUAAGGCUACAUAACCCAGUGGAGGUCGAAGAAGUCUUCAUGAGAACAACUACAACUGCUGGGAAAGAAGGGGCCCAUCCAUUCGGAGGUGAGAGAGAUGUUCCUUCCCUGACCCUACUUGAGGAUGGAUGGACAAAUAAUGGAGUGCUGGGGUUGCUGUCAGGUAGCAAUCAGGACAGCAGGUUCCUGACCUCCAAAAGAAGUUGCUUCCAUUCUACCUUCUCUUCCUGACCACUCAAGGACUCAUCCUGGUUCCUCUGGAGGUGCUGGGGAGGAACGUAAUGGAGACGGAUUCUAGGCUUAGUUCUUGCCAAAGCCCCAGUGGAAACUUAGGCAACUCAUCUCAGGGUAAAUGAUGACUAUAUCUGGUCAUCCCUUAAACAACAACAACAAAUGAUGACCUUCCUUGUUCUUCUGCCUACAAACAACAGUCAUUGAUGUUACUGUAUAUUAAACAUGCUGUACAUGGCAGGCACCUGCUGCAAGCAUUAUAUGAACCUCAUAAUUUCACCCUCCUGACGAUGCCACGAUGCAGGUGAUUACUCCCUCUCUACACAGAAGGAAUCCAAGGCUCAGAGAGGGUCUGUGAUUUGCCCAACAUCUUCAUGGCUGACCAGCUAUGUGACUGGGACAGUGAGUUAAUCUCUCUGUGCUUCAGUUUUCUUUCCUGUGGAUGGGAUAGUGAUACUGGUCUCACAGAGGCAGAGUAUAAAAUUGAAUGAGAAAAUAUGAAGUGUUCAUCAUUUCUGUUACCAUUUGGACUGACUUCUUGAAUCAUGAAAAUGGAACGGGGCUCUCUGGGAGCCUUCCCUGACCACCACCUCCUUUCUACCAAAUGGGAGAGAAGGCCCUCUGCAGUGGCCCACAGCAUUCCAUUCAGGGGUGUCUGUAGGGUCCCCCUGUGCUUAGCCUGUGUCCUGUCCUCUGCCAUGCCCCACCCUGGAGCCUAGCGCCUGGUCCACAGCUGGGGGGGUGCUCCAUGUCUAUUGGUGGCAUGAAUAAAGGCAAAAUCGUGUCAAAAUAAGAUGGUUCAAGCCCCCAUCCCAUUUUCUGUAGACACUGUUAUUUUGAUGUCCUCUCAAGUGUAGUUGUAUUUGCUUUUUCUUCUACAACUUAGUAUGCCUCAUGUAUGUAAAAAAUAAAUACGUGAUAUAAGAAGUCAUAACAACAGAAAUAAAAAUUGCCCUGACCAUCUAC